rnacentral:rRNA from 1 species
UACGUAGGGUGCAAGCGUUGCCCGGAUUUAUUGGGCGUAAAGGGCGCGCAGGCGGCCCGGCGCGUCCGCGGUGAAAGCUCCCGGCUCAACUGGGAGAGGUCCGCGGAAACGGUCGGGCUGGAGCAAGGUAGGGGGUCGUGGAAUUCCCGGUGUAGUGGUGGAAUGCGUAGAGAUCGGGAGGAACACCAGUGGCGAAGGCGGCGACCUGGACCUGUGCUGACGCUGAGGCGCGAAAGCGUGGGGAGCGAACCGG